GACGAACGCUGGCGGCGUGCUUAACACAUGCAAGUCGAACGGUGACGAGGAGCUUGCUCCUCUGAUCAGUGGCGAACGGGUGAGUAACACGUGAGCAACCUGCCCCAGACUCUGAGAUAACAGUUGGAAACAGCUGCUAAUACCGGAUACGAGACGGAGAGGCAUCUCUACCGUCUGGAAAGUUUUUCGGUCUGGGAUGGACUCGCGGCCUAUCAGCUAGUUGGUGAGGUAAUGGCUCACCAAGGCGACGACGGGUAGCCGGCCUGAGAGGAUGAUCCGCCACACUGGAAUUGGAACACGGACCAGACUCCUACGGGAGGCAGCAGUGAGGAAUAUUGCGCAAUGGGGGAAACCCUGACGCAGCGACGCCGCGUGGAUGAUGAAGGCCUCGGGUCGUAAAUACCUGUCAGGCGGAAGAAAUAGUAGUAUGCCUAAUACGU
rnacentral:rRNA from 1 species